GGCAUGGUGUAGUGGUUUGAGUGUUAGAUUACGACUCUGGAGACCAGGGUUCGAUUCCCUACUCAACCA